rnacentral:tRNA from 744 species
GGGCUUGUAGCUCAGUUGGUUAGAGCGCGCGCUUGAUAAGCGUGAGGUCGGAGGUUCAAGUCCUCCCAGGCCCACCA